rnacentral:rRNA from 1 species
ACGAGGGUGACAGGUGGUGCAUGGUUGUCGUCAGCUCGUGUCGUGAGAUGUUGGGUUAAGUCCCGCAACCGAGCCGCAACCCUCGACCUUAGUUGCCAGCAUUCAGUUGGGCACUCUAAGGUGACUGCCGGCUAAAAGUCGGAGGAAGGUGGGGAUGACGUCAAAUCAUCAUGCCCCUUAUGACCUGGGCUACACACGUGCUACAAUGGGCGGUACAAAGGGUCGCGAACCCGCGAGGGGGAGCCAAUCCCAAAAAGCCGCUCUCAGUUCGGAUUGCAGGCUGCAACCCGCCUGCAUGAAGCCGGAGUUGCUAGUAACCGCAGGUCAGCUAUACUGCGGUGAAUACGUUCCCGAGUCUU